rnacentral:lncRNA from 1 species
CAAAUACGAAAAGACAACAGAUAUGAGAACACAUGUUCUUUCUUGACAAUGAAAUACUUGCAAUAAGUUUAUGAAAAUUGGAAGUGCAUCUGGUAUAAUCCUCCUAUGUAUACUUAAUGGACUGACUAUCUCCCUUUAAUUAUUGAACAUCAAUGUAUGAUAUAUGUAUAACUUAUGAUAUACAUAUAUAAUGUUGUGUUUGUAUUUGAUACCUCAUUGCUGUGAUUGUUAUGAGCACUUUUGUUGAUAUAGUCAUAGUAUAUAACUAUCAGUAGAAAUAAACAAAAUAUGUACUGAAAAAAUGCUAAAACUAGAUCCUACUUCUGACAGGCUUGAGUUAUAAGUCCGAUUUGUAAUUAUGUAAGACAUUUUUUUUACGCCAGAACAAAUAAGAUAAUAAGUAUACAUAAAAUAAUUAAAAAAAAAACAAUAUUAAACUGCAUAUGAUUGAUGUGAUAUUCUUAUUCUCUGUCAUUUAUUUCUUCUCUUCACGGAUAUUGUCGUUGAG